rnacentral:rRNA from 1 species
CGGACGGGUGAGUAAUGUCUGGGAAACUGCCCGAUGAGGGGGAGUAACUACUGGAAACGGUAGCUAAUACCGCAUAAUGUCUACGGACCAAAGCGGGGGACCUCCGGGCCUCGCGCCAUCAGAUGAACCCAUAUGGGAUUAGCUAGUAGGUGAGGUAACGGCUUACCUAGGCGACGAUCCCUAGCUGGUCUGAGAGGAUGACCAGCCACACUGGAACUGAGACACGGUCCAG